CCACCCCCACCAGGAAUUAAGGAGCUGAUAUCAGGUGCAACACUCACCCAUAACAUCUAGCCAUGCCACACCCACAAGGGUCCUCAGCAGUGAUUAACAUUAAAAAUGAACGACAGUUCGAUUUAGUUAAUGAAAACAGAGCCGGCUAAUUUAGUGCCAGCCGCCGCGGUUACACUAUAUGGCUCAAAUUGAUCUCAAUACGGCGUAAAGCGUGAUUAAAGAAAUAAAUUUCUAGGGUUAAAUUUUAACUAAGCCGUAGUACGCUUGUUUAUAAGAAAAUCUACUCGAAAGACACCCUAAACUCACCCACUUGAACUCACGAUAAUUAGGAUACAAACUGGGAUUAGAUACCCCACUAUGCCUAAUAAUAAACUUUAAAUUACACUCACAUCGCCAGGGAACUACGAGCAAAGCUUAAAACCCAAAGGACUUGACGGUGCCCCACAACCCCCUAGAGGAGCCUGUCCUGUAACCGAUACCCCCCGUUUAACCUCACCACUUUUAGUUUUUCAGCCUGUAUACUUCCGUCGCCAGCUUACCGCAUGAGCGAAUUAAGUAAGCUUAACGUCCCCCACCAACACGUCAGGUCAAAGUGCAGCAAAUAAAGUGGCAAGAGAUGGGCUACACUCUCUAAUUUAGAAAACACGAAAGACUAUUUGAAAUAAUAAUCUGAAGGCGGAUUUAGUAGUAAGCGGAAAAUAGUAUAUUCCUCUUAAUUUGGCACUGGGGUGUGUACACACCGCCCGUCACCCUCUUC
rnacentral:rRNA from 1 species